rnacentral:lncRNA from 1 species
AAAAGGGAAUUACUCUUCAACAAACUUGAUCAAGUCCAAGCAAUGCUUGAACCUUGAUCUAGGCAAUGAAUUGGUAAACACAUCCGCCAGAUUCUCUUCCGAUGCCACUUUUUCCACCACAAUCUCUUUUGAUUCAAUCAUGUCUCGAACAAAGUGCAAGCGAAUGUCAAUGUGCUUUGUCCUCUCAUGAUACACUUGAUGAUUCGCCAAGUGAAUGGCACUUUGACUAUCACAAUGUAUCUUCACACAUUCUUGAGUAAUUCCUAACUCACCAAUCAUUCCUUUCAACCACAUGGCCUCUUUCA